AUGAGGAAAGAGGACGUGAGCAGCGCGGAGGGGACUGGAAAGGCACCUGGCUCUGCAAGGCCUGAGGAAGCUGGUUUGGGCAAAGCCAAAGUCUCUCCAAGCCCCAGAGAGCAGGGUGGGGGCGAUGUUGGUGGGGAAGAAAUGAUUAACCCUCUUCUCAGCCAGGCCGAGGCCUGCCGGGCUGCGGCCCAGGGAUUCAGUGCGGGCCACCAGGGCUUCCUAGCUCUAGCCGCCGCCACUGCAGAGCGAGGGGGCCAGGAACUCAGUGCGGGCAGGGGAACGCAACUCCGGGCGCGCGCGGCGCGGGAGAAGCGGAGAGGGCGACACAGCCACAGCCCACACAGGGGCCGAGGAGCAGGUGGAGAGGGGUGUGAGGCCCUGGGGUGGCCGGCAGUUGCCGACAGACGCCCAAUCUACAGUCUCGGAUCCAUCCGCGCCCGCCCGCCCUUCCUCCUCUCCAGCGGCGGUGGGUGUGAGCAGCGGCGGAGAGCGCGCCAGAGCCCGAGCGGGUUUUGCUGCUCAGAAGCGGGCUCAGCCAGACUGAAUAAAACCCGCAUCAUCUGCAAACCUGGCCGCAGCAGCUGAGUCCAGGCAUGCG
rnacentral:lncRNA from 1 species